rnacentral:tRNA from 1 species
UGGCUCAGUGGUUAAGAGCUCUGGCUGCUCUAUCAGAGGACCUGGGUUCAAUUCCCAG